rnacentral:tRNA from 1 species
GGCCGUAGUCUAGCUUGGUCCAGGAUGCCAGCCUGAGGCGCUGGUGACCCGGGUUCAAAUCCCGGCGGCC